rnacentral:lncRNA from 1 species
UAAAGACUCAAAUAUUUGUGUGCCAAGAUCUUGUACUUUAGAUGCUUACUGCAGCAUCUCUCCAUCUAAUGGCUAGCAAUUUCUUUAAAUUUUAUUUUAUAUUAGAGAUUUUAUUUCUGCUACAAACAUUUUUGAACAGUGGUAGUACUUUUCCAUUCUCUUUUCUGUCCUACUACGCUUCUUUUAUUAAUUUUACUCGAUUUUUUUAUAUAAAUUUUAAUCAAUCUUUUACAGAUUAUGCUUUUCAGAUCUUAUGUUGUACUUUGAGAUACAUUCCCCCCUUAAAGUAAAUUAAAAAAUAAAUAAAACAUUAAACACCUUAUCUUUUACAGUUAUUGUUUUAUAAUAAUUGCACUGUUGCAGAGUGAUGGAAUUUUGAACUUCUUUUCUAUAUGUCUUCUCUUAUAAGAAGGCAGUUAAACAUGCAUUUAGGUGUAUUUUGUAAACAAAAAUUAACAGAUUUGGUUAAUUGCCUACUCUUUUGUUAAUGCUGAUACCACAAUGUUUUAUGUAUAUAAAACCAUUGUAAUACUGUCCUUGGAAUAAGUGUAGAUAAGACUAUGGACUUCUAAUGGUCAAUUUCUUGAAACUCUACUACUAUUCUUCAAAGCAAAAAUGGAUAGUAAAAAUAUAAAAAGUGACUUUUUUGAAGUGCUGUCCAGUCUUCUAACAUAAAAACAGUAACAUUAUACCAAAUGCGUAGAAUAGUUUCAUUCUUUUUAGUUUCCUUCUAUGUAGUUAAUUUUUAAUAACACAUUUCUUCUAUAUAGGCAAUGUAAAAUAUACUGUGUUAUACGUGUAACAUUCAAAUUAACAUGUUCAUUUAACAUCUUAUUCAUUAAUGGAAGGUUUUUAUAGUAAAUAUAUUAUUAAUAAGACUAUUUCUGAAUUAACACAUUGAGGAAAAUUAUUGGCAUCAUAUUUAUGUGUAUAAUAAUUGAAAUUUUUCAAAUAUAACAAUUUUUUAUUAUUUGGCCAUUCUUUCUGUCUUUUUUCCCUAUUCUCUUGUAAAAUAUAGUGCUAUAAAGUAAAAUUAUACUUUUUUUCUUACAGUUUCUUGUUAUAAUCCGGACUGACUCAUGUUGAAAGAUGUAUAUACGUCUGUGCCUGAGUCAGAAUUGCCUUUAUUCUAUUAAAUCUAAAUGUAUCGUCGCAAGGAGUAAAGUCGAUAUCUUUCGAGGGCUUCUAGCAUCAGUGGAAAUACAAUAUAGUUCAUUAUAACAUAUUCGCUUCAUAACAUAAUAAUUUAAAUGAGUCUUAGUUUUAUUUAACUUGCUAAUAAAUAAACUAUAUCUAUUUUCUUAGUAUUUUUAGAUUUUUUUAAAAAUUAAUCUACAAAAUAUUUGUAACUUUCAUUUAUAAUUCUCACUCUUAUCAUACCACAAUACCGUAAAAGAUAAAAUUUUUUGUCAUUUUGCCCAAGUUCAUAACACAUUACUGUUUAUGCUAUUGUGGUUUAAAUGUUUGCUGUUCUUUCUAUUAAAUACAUCUAAAACAGUUUUUUAUCAGAUUCUGAAAAAAGUCAAAUUUAGCUGUAUUCUGGAGUGUGUUAAAUUAAGUUUUACAAUAGAUUUCUUGAAACUUAGUCCACAUAGUUUUGGACUAUGUGUUUCAUAAAUUAGAGAAUUUAGCAGAUUAUUGUUCAUACCUUUAUAAUAGUUAAUAGUUUCCCUUUUCUAAUUUAAACUUUUUUAUAACUAACUUAACUGUAUUAAAAAUUAAAUUUAAUUGUAUUCAUCAAUGGAAAUUCAGAAUUAAGUAAUUAUGAGUGCAUAAACUUCCUUACACAUUAGAAUUAAUAAACACUGAAUUACUGCAUUUUUUCAGUACAGUUAUUCCAUGAGUACAAAAGGCAAAUAGUAGACAGAAAGGGAUGCUAAAUUACUUCAACAAUGAAAUAAUUUUUCUUUUCCAACUGAAAUGCAUUGUAUUUUUCUGAAAAAGUUUUUUUUGCAUAAAUAUUUUAGAAAAAGUUACUGAAAAAUUUUGUGUAUUUACAUCCAAAAAUCAACACAGAUUACAGGUAUUCAUGAUUAGAGGUAUUCACCUUUUUAACCAUACCCUAAAGAAAUUGAAUGUUUCCUAAAUCACAAAGUAAUAAGAGCUAAUCAUUGGACAACACUUUCUCAUGCAGAGUUCAUCAUUUUUCAUGAAUUAAACCAUUUUAACUAUAGAGGGGAAAGAUGGUAGAAUGUUUGAAGGUUUAAUUAUUUUAACUAUGUAUUUAUGUUAUGAAGGUUGGAUAUAGUUCCAAACUUUUUUAAUCCUACUACAUGAUACACAACAAAAAUUUAAAUCAUAAAAAUGCUCUUUUCUGGGAAUAACAAGCAGAAAAAUCACAAAAUAGUAGUUUUAAUAUAAGUAAGAGGAUUUUAAAUGCCUCUUUUUUUAAGAAAAAAUUAUUUUAUGUUACAUAUGUAUAUGUAGUUAUUCAUUUUUGAACAGUCAGCUAAACUGUGUUAUUAUUGCAGUGAACAGAACUUCCAUUUUUCAUGUAUUUAUACGUGUAUGUCUGAUAAGAAACUUUACUUGAUCUUAGCAGAGAAAUAUUUUGGAAGCUAUAAUACUGAAUGAAUUACUCCAGUAUGUGGUUUUUAUCAGACCAGAGAACUUGGGAAAACUUACAUACUCCUUACAAAUGCCCAUGCCUUCUCCGGGAUUUGAACCAGGGCCUACUGGCCUGGCAGCAUUAAAAGUAGUAAGAGAUUCAAACUUGUACAAAACUGUAGCUUCAUAUUGUCACUUAUAGAGUGCUCAAGGCUUAGGCCAGGACAGGCACAAUUUUUGCCUUUUGAUCACAAUAAAGUUUGUGGACCUUAUCUGGCUAUGGGUUCAGAUUAUGUGGAUUAGAAACAAAGCAGCAAUUUUUUAGUGAAAUUUGGAUAGAUAUAUUGUUUUUGCAUACUUUAACAAAUAAUGAUUGUUGCAUUGUGCUAUCAGUUGUAUAUCCAAUUGGAUGGCCAGCACAUUUAUGUGCUGCAUAGGCAUCGUGUAAUCAUAAUACUUUAGCUGACUGAUAUAUAAAGGUUUCAAUUGCUUCAUUAUAUUUAAUAAUAAUAAAUGAAAUAUUAUCAUUAAAUAAAGAAUGUUGUAGAGGACAGAGUUAAUAUAUAAUGCCAAGAGCUUCAUGUUGCUAGAAAAUUAUGAAAAUCACAAGUAGCAUUUGUUAUGCAUAUGCAUAAUAAUUGUGUUGUUAAUUUUAUAUGUAUUCUGAUGUUCAAAAUUAAGGUAACAAACAUAUUCUCCAACAUUCCUCUCAAAUAAAAUAAAAAAAAAAAUAGUAUUAUAAACAAAUAAAUAAUAUAAAAAUUAGAAGAUAUACAAUUUUGAAUGAUAAAUGUAAUUUGCAUACAUAUUUGAUAUGAAGGUCAAAACUGGUAGCUUUCAGCAAAUAGAAAAAUUAUGUUUUUGUGAGUUCAGUUUUCAUAUGUAAAGUUAUUAUUAUAAUCCAUUAAAUAUUGAUAGAAUGAGUUCUUAUAGUUGUGUAGAAAGAUAGAUUGAGAUGGACUUUUUCAAUGAAAGUAGAAAUGGCUGAUAGUUGAAAGUAGUUAGAAUUAAAUGUACAUUUUAUAGAAAUAUUACCAAGGAACUUCCCCCCCCCUUGUGUAACAUGAAUACAAGCCAGCUUUGCUCAGAGAGCUUCCCAUAAAUGCAUGCUUGUGCAGUAAGCCCCAUGGCUUUGUCCGCAUUGAAUAACCUAAACCUAAAUUUUGUUCUAUCAGAAGAUAGUCUUUCAUAAAACUGGAAAAGUCAUUUCUGCUUACAACUAUAGUCCUGUUAUGUAAUGAAUUGGAAUAUUCUACGCAAAUUAAUUCUCAGGCCCGUUUUCACUUGGUUAGGGUAUGUGACAUGUUAUGGUCCCUCUAAUAUAUGGGAAAGUGAUCAUUAUGGUAAAGGAUGCUAUUAUGUUGAAUGGUUUGCAAUCUAUUGCAAAUGUCUUCAGAAGCAGGGAUGUUAUUCAUGUUGCUCUAGGGUAAACUUUGCAUCCUGUCUGAAACUCUGUUGUUUAACGCCAGCUUGUUUUCAUGUACGGCAUUGCUCCAGCAUCCAAAGCUCUGCUGCUACAAAAUUACCUUGAAGGGGAGAAUAGUCUGCUAGGUCUCUGGACUUUGAUUCAGUACAGCAUGUGUAGGAUGCAGUAAGAAAGCCAUUAGAUAUAUCAUUCUUCUUUUUAUUUUGAACUGCUAUGUUGAUUCCUCGUGAAAUAUUUGUGCACUAAUAUUAAAAUUGCCGCUGAACUUUUUGAGAUAAUAUGGAAUUUGUGUUUGUUACCUUUAUUUUGGGCAUCCUAGUAUAUUUUUACUAAUGGAUUUGUUUUGCAGGUAAAACAGAAGAUUUUUUUGAUGCUAACAUUAUGGAGCAAAUCAGGUACAAAUUGGUGGAAGUUAAUUCCAGCCCCUCCUUAGGCAGCACAAAUAAUCCAGGAACAGUUACAUUUUACAGCAGGAUUAAAGCGAGGAGAACAGAGAAAUCUGGAAAAGUCAAUGUUUUAUUGCAGUGGAUACCUGAAAAUGUUUUACCUGAUAGUUGGGUACCAGAAGAAUCAGUGAUUAAAUGUAAGAGAGUUCCUUAUUCAUCACUGCCAUUGGAAUCUCUUGCAUUACUUGACCCUCAGCUGAAGGAAGAAUGUGAUGUCCCACGAGUCAAGCAUCGCCGAAAAUAAAAUGUUCUUUUAUAAAGAGAGAAAUGUGUUCCUGCAAGUGCCAUGCUUUAAAAAAAUAUUUAUGAGUCACAACAAAUGAGAUUGUUCUAGUAGUGGAUUUUCUAUUUGAAACAUGUAGCUUGAUCUUAUGCAAAAUGCAAUUGCAAUUUGUAUGAAAGGAGAAAUUUGUUGUUAAUGUAUUUAUUGCAAAGUGUAAUUAGCAAUUAAUGGAGUGGGCACAAAGAAGGCAACAAAAAGUAUGUGAAAAAAUUGAUAAAAACAUUUUGCCAGUGCCUUUGUACCCUUUCAUUGAGAUGUCUAUUUUCAGGAGUGGAAAAUGCUUCUGAUUGUAGCAAAAUAAUGUUAUACAUAGUUAAUUAAGUUAUAUAAAAUUGCUCUGAGAGCUCCUCACAUCUUUAUUUGUAUCACAUCAGCAAAUCCGUAGGUUCUUUACAAUAUUAGAUCCUGCGGUUUCAGUCGGACCAAUUAAUUUUCUGAACACUGGGAACCACCUUAUUUAAAGUCCAGAUAUAAGGAGCAAUAUCACAUUUACAAUCCUUAUACAGCAAUGAUUAUAUGUAUAGAUUAAAUGUCUUGCCUAGUUCAAGAUGUCAAGGUUAGUUCCUAAUGUCUAUGGCAUGAAGUAACUUCAGUAAAUUUCUAAUGCAAAAACAGAUUACCAAAAAGCUGUAUACCUGAAUGAACCUAAUAUCAGCAUUCAUUUAAACCAGGGACCAAAAUCAGAAUUUUUUUUAUUGUCUUGUUUGCAUGUGUAAAAUAAAGCAGUUUGUUUUAUUUUCGUUCAUUCUGUCCUAAAAUAAAUUACCUAAUUUUCAUAUUUUUGUUGUUAUUGUGACUAAUCUCACUUGUAUUAUCUAAUCAGAGCAGGCCCACAUUACACAAGUUUUAUUGUGUCAAGGUGUAAAAGAUUGUGUCUCUCAUUGGCAAGAGUCUUGAGCAUCAGUGACAUGACAGUCCGACUUUCUUCAGUUUCCAUUUUUAUUAUUCUUCCAAAGGAGUAUUUAUAUAUUUUAUUUGAAAUGAGUUAAAAUCAGAAUUGUUUUUUAAUUAAGUAAAAGCUUUCUGUAUAUUCAUUCCAAGGGUUUAAUUUUUGCACUUGAACAAAAUAUUUCUUCAAAUAUGUGAAAUAUAUGAUUAUCUUUUAAACAAACUGAGUAUUAAUUGUAAAGAUUAUUCUUCAGAUACCAUUUUAUUAGAUAUUAAUAUGUAUUAAAAUAUUGUUUUAUUAGGCGUAAAGCCUUUUAGGUUUGUAGUGAAUCUAUAUUAUUAUAUAUAUGUAUUUCCCCUCAUUUAAAUUUAUAUUAACAUUUUGGUUCAGAAUUUUAUUUAAAAAACAUUAUUUUUAAGUAACAUUCAGCUUAUUUAUAAUUUUACUUUUUCUGUUGUCUGACCAUUUUCAAAAAUCCUAAAUUUUGUGUACGUCUAUUGAUAUAACAAUUUUGCAUUAUUGCAGUUUUUCUUCUCAUACAGUUUUAUGUUAUUUAAAAGUUUGUAAAAAAAUCCCCCUUUUCUUCUCUCUUCUCUUUUUAUUUGCUCAGAGUAAGGCCAUUUUCUGGUUACAAUGUUCAAAAUGCAAAAAAUUUCCUGUUUCAUCAAUAUUAUGGUAUGAAUAUGUUAGAAUGCAAUCUAAGUUUAAAUAUUGCAAUAUAAUACUAAACUCACAACUUUAAAAUAUUUUAAUAUUUUUCUGAAAGGAAAGUGUGUAUUUCCUUUAUUUCAUUUUCUUAAAAAGUUUAUGCCCCUCCCCCCUUUUUUGGUCCCUGGUUUUUGAUUAUUUGUUCAGUCCUCCUGUAAUGAUCAUCUCAUUAUCAUAUAAGUUUCUAUUUGUUAUUAAAAAUUUAAAUCUUGUGAGCUUGUAACUGUUUUGCAUUACUCAAACCUGCUGCUUAUUGCUCUGCAUACAUGCACUCAUGGGAUAAUAAUUAUGUCUGCUGCUUUAGUUUCAGUUUUUAACUGUUUUAAAUUUUAUCUGUUGGUGUCACUUUCAUGUUUACUACACUUAAGUAAUGUGUACAGUAAGAAAUUUUCUUUUUUCAUAUUUUAGAUGUCUUAAAUAAGAAUGGCCUAUUGCUGCUGUGCAUUAUAAAACUAUAUGGUUUUAAGUUUCCAUUAAAGUAACUGGAAAAUCAAAAUUGAUUUUAAAGGGGCAUUCUUAUAAAAAUAUAUAAAUAUAUGGUUAAAUAUCAAAAAUAUAUUCAUGUGAAAUAUAAUAGCCCAAAUUAUAAAAAUUAUAUUGUAAAAUAUGCAAAAAAAAGGGGUUGUUUCCAAGAAGAAUUUUAAAGCUUAUCCCAAAAUUACUGCAUGUUGCAGUCUUGCGAUUUUGAAAUUAUGGCACAUUAUAUGAAAACUUAUAACCUUUUUUUAUGUAAAUAUCGAGAAGGAAUGUUGACUUGCAUUGUUGAUGUUUAAAGUGCACAUGUGCUUGAGAAUGAGCUUCAUGUGCAGGCUUUGCAUGUAUAAAAUUAAUAUCUUUAUGCAUUGAAUGCACGAUGGAAUAAAGCUUCAGUUCAGGUUAAAAGUAUAAACUACUUGCUAACAAAUUCAUGACACUUUUUAAAUAUAAAGUAACUGGUAUUGUGUUAAGACUAAAAAUCCCUCCUUCCCUUCCAAUUACUUCAUUUCAGUAUUUUAAACCAAUGCCAGAAAACCUGUAGCUUUUCUCAUGUUCAUAUUAUAUCAUAUAUUUCUUUUAGAUAAAAAAAAAUUCAGUUAUAUUUCUUGACCUAACAUCAGAUUAUUUUUUCAGGGUAUAUUUCAUCUUUUCAUAUAUUUUCUUUAUGUAUAAUUUUAAGUAUUUAAGUUUUCCCACCUUGCUGUGUAGUUAUUUUAAUUCUCUAUAUGCAAUCUAGUAAUAUCUUGAUUAAAAAAAUAAGUUUUAAGUUUUCUGCAUAAAAUGCACAAAGUUUUAAUACAUAAAACUUGUUUUAGUAUAAAAAUAAUUAAUAUACAUCAUGUUUUCUGAAGGUAAAACCAGAAUAUAUUUUUGGAGGAAGAGUGCACUCAAUAGAUAACAUAAAUAUUCUUCUGUUUACAGAAUAAUGUAUACUGUAUAGAUUUCACACUAAUAUUGAAAUAUAUUGUGAAGAACUAAAAAUUUGAUAUAACUUUUUGUGGAUAAAAUUUAUAGAUGGAAGGCAAUGCACUUUGUAUAUAGGCUUAAAAGUGUUUUUCCUUCUCCUGACUAAAAUUCUUUUCCCAUAUUGUAUGAAAUCAAUACAGUAGUGCCUCCUAUGUUCACAGGCAGUGCAUUCCAACAUUUACUGUAAUAAUAUGGAACUAUAGAUUGUACACACUAUAUAAAAUUAUAUAUUUCAAAAGCACAUAUAAAUAAGAUAAAUAAAUAUAUAAGUUUAAUUGAGAAGUUUGACACCUUUUUUUUUAUUAAGAUAUUACCAGCUUUAAUAAUAAAGUUUAUUAUAUGAUAUAUUGUAUAUUUACAAUUAAUUUAUUUCUUUUCCUUUCUCUCGCUUUCUCAUUAAUGUUAAAGUUUUUCAUUUAUAUGUAAAUAUUAAGGAAUUCUGCUAUUUUAACUUGAUACAGCGCAGAAAAUUCCUACUUUCCUUCUACGCAUUGAGCAAUGGAACAUUAGCCAAAAUUGUGCAUCUGUGGUCAGAAUUAUUGUCUGAUGACAGAAGUAAAUAAAUUUGGGUUACUGUAUUUCCACACAUAAUUGGAAUUAUGUUCUCAUUUAACUAGUAAAGUAUAUAUUUCUUUCAUAUUAAAUAAAAAAAUAAAGGGCACGUUAAAUUAUGGAUAAUGAAUCAAUGGCUAGACGGGGCACAGAUGUAGUUACUGCUUUUCAUUUGGAAAAAUUGGAACUGUGUGCAGGUUAAAUAGGUUAUGCAAUGAGUGUGCCAAAAUUUGCUUUGUCUUGCCGCUCCGUCCUUUUCUGGUGGUUCCCUUCGUGCUUAAAGUAGUGGUGAUAGACGGCUGUUAACCGCAGAAUCUCACUUGUCAUUCCUAAGAAAUAUCGUGAUUCAUAUCUGUGAUAAAUAGUACAAACACCUAAGCACUGCUUUAAUUCACUACAGAAAGUUUGCCUAGAGCCAUGGAUAAGGCCAGUAACUGUUUUUAUCAUUAUAUGCCAGUCAUUUCUCAGAUUAUUGUUUAAUUUUUAAGUGUCAUUAAAAAUGCAGAUUAAAAAAAAGGAUUCUAUAUUGAAUCCAAGUAAAUAAAUAUUAAUAUGUUAAAAACUAUUGCAUGCCUUGUAUUUAAAAUUGCACAUCUGAAUAUUUUGAAAAUUCAAGCUUUUAAGAAUAUGGGUGAAGUAAAAAAUAUUUGAUUAUGAUUAUAUUUAUUUUUAAAAAAUUGCUUAUUUGAUUAGGUUUGUAGUAUAAAUAUAUCACAAGCAAAGCACUUCUGGUUAUAUUCAGUAGCUUAUUUUUAAAAAGCUAGUUUCAGAUCAAGAUCUUUGAAACCUACAAUUGAUUAUGAAUUUUUUUUAAUAAAAAAAUCUUGAGUUUUAUUACAACUCAUUUUCAAAAUAAAAAAUAAUUUUUUGUUAUAAUUUGUUCAUUUAAUUCAUGGAAGCAUUACUUCUAUUACUAAGAAGAAAAUAAUUAACAUAUGAUAGUUUUAUUAAUGAUAUUUGUGUGAAUUUUAAAUUUAUGGUAAAUUAAAUUUAUUGUUAUUUGUAGUCAGUGUAACAAAGUGCUUAUGUAGAGAAUAGCUGUUAUUUAAUCAUAAUUAGUGGAAAAUAUUCAGGGAAAUUACCAGUGGUUUACAUGUAAAUAAAACUUUUGAUUUUUCAAACUAGUUUAAAGUCCAACUUCAUACUUAAUCAGAAACUUGCUUGCAAAUCCUCAUAAUGUUUUGAAAUUAUAACUUGAAGUUUGACUAUGUCAACUCAAGUAUAUAUUUACUUCAUGAGUGCUAAAUAAAUUUGUUUGAUUGAAGGGAUAGUUCAUCCAAUCAGUUUAUAAACAAAUGCUAAUGUAGCUUGUUAUAUUUUAUUGUGUAUAUUAGAUUUUAUUAAUAUGUGAACUUAAAAUGUAGCUAUAACAAAUAGGUAUGUCAUUAAUAAAUAUAGUCCUUCUUACAUUUUUUGUGUGCAUUUAUGUGUAAUCUAAGUCAAAAUGCUCUAUAUAGUGGCUUAAUUAUUAAUCAUAUUCAAUCUCAUUAUGUUUUAGUCAUUUUAGGAAUAAAAAAUGUAGUUUAUGGUAAAUAUGUUAUAUAGAUAAAAUGCUUUUAUUUUAAGUAUUUCUAGAUGCACUAAAAUAUAUGUGUAUAUAACAUUAUGCUUUAUUAUGUCCCUCAUAUUUAGUUAUAUCAAUAGCACAUUUUGUCAUAUUUAAGAACAUAAAACUUUCCUAUUUUUUGUUUACAAAGUGCUUUAUAUUAAAUAAUACCAACAAAAAUUUAAGGUAUUGUGUAAUCAAUAAUAAUAUUUAGUAUAUAUAUAUAUAUAUAUAUAUUUUUUUUAAUUAAACAUCUGCUUAAAUUUUCAGAGGCAAGAAGAUUGCAUCUCUAAAAUAGAACAUUCUAGUAGUAGUCUGAUCUAAAUGAACCGUUUGUAUAGUAAUAUACGCUGUAUUUUAAAUAUGCGAGUCACCAAUGCUUUUUAAACACACAGAUUUAUAUGGUUAAAAUUAUUUUACAGUCUCAUAAAGUUACUUCGUAUUCUUGGUUUCUGAUUUUUGAAAGUUUUUCCCAAAAAUUGUAAUAUGUUUUUAAUAUAUAUUUUGCUGCAGAAACCUUUAAUUAAUUAUUUUUUAUGUGAAAGUAAGAGAACAAAGAUGAAAUUAAAGGGGAUUAUGUUGUUCAUUAAAGGAAUAUGUGACUAGUGGUACAUUUAAAGAUGUUCAUACAUUCACUAAGUUGUUCAUUUUUGGUUAUGUAUGCUGUUUUACUAUUUGUAUUGUAAUUUACUUAUUUGUCUCAUUUUGCACUCAAAACAAUGAAUUCUUGUGUAUUUUAUAGUGAAUUAAGUUGUAAUUUAUUUUUAAAUACAAAAGAUAUGGAAGUUAUGAAUCAUGCAACUGAAAAUGAACAAAACAGUAACAAGUUCAAAUGAAAACUAGCUACUAAACUGAUUUUGAGGAUAAAUGGGACAAGAAAAUACUAGAAUUAAAAAAUUGUCCAACAGAGUAUUUCAUCUGAUUUUGCUAUGGCAGUCAAUGUGUUAAAGGUAAAAAGAGUUAAAAAAUAUGAAAUUGAUUAUCAGGAUUAAUAUGAGAUAUGAAAUUAAUAUUCAUCAAGUAUGCUGGAGUAUUUGGCUAAUCACUUUGUGUUUUUAUUUUGCCUAUAAUUUUUGUGUGUCCAUACGCAAGCACACAAUAAACUGCUAAAUUAAAAUAAAACUAAUGUAGAAAAACUUGUAACAAAAAAUAAAAUAUGAAAAAGAAAAGGUGUUGAAAUCCACACAUACUUUUAGUGUCACAUGCUUUAUAAGUAAAUAAUUAAAUAAUUUUUUGGGGGGGAGUGAAGAGAAUAAUUUAACUUUUUUUGGUGAAGUUUAUCUAGGGCAGAUUUUAUCAACUGGGGAGCAACUUUUGACUUCAGGGUUAGAUUCUUUCUGUCUUAAGUCCCAUCAACACAAGGAGACAUAUCUUCAAACAGCUAUCUACAUUUUUGCUGGAGAUAUUUUUUGCAACAGUCAGUGAAAUUGCAUAUUAAAAUCAUUUGUCAGAAAAGCAGUGGUGGUUUUUCUCAGCAUUAAGCUUACUGAAUGAUGUGGCAUGAAUCAUUUGGAGAUCUUUUUAUUAUUUUAACAAAUUUAAUUUAUGAUGUUUUAUUUCUUUUGGAUCUUAUUUCCAGUUGAUUUCUUUAGAAAUAAAAUAUUUUUUCAUAUUGAUACAAGAGAUUUGCUUUUGUGAGCUAUAGAGUGAUAUAUUUUUUACUUCAUUUGUUGGCUUAUAUAACUAAAUAUGGUAGAAUAUUUCCAAUUUAAAGGAAUUUAAAUUGAGAAGUCUGGCAAACGAGGAAAACUUAAUUUAUUGUCUAUUUGUAUUUGAUUAAAUUUCUGAAUAUCUACUAUUAAUGAUUUUUUCAACUUUUGAAAUAGGUCUAAUUAUAUCAAUUGCUUGGCACAUUUACCAAAGUGUGUAAGUUUUCCAUGAGCCAGCUGAGUUAUUUUCAGAUUUGUUUCCUCUGAAUAUAAAUGUUUUAUUACUUCUGUAAUUAACAGAGUUAUGUUAAUAUAAAAAUUAUUAAAGUUUGUAUUUGUAACACGUAAUAAUUUUGAAUUAUUUUAUUAU